CAGUAUAUCCCAGUAUAUCCCAGUCCAUCCCAUUCCCAGUCCAUCCCAGUCCAUCCCAGUCCAUCCCAGUAUAACCCAGUCCCUCCCAGUACAUCCCAGUAUAACCCAGUCCCUCCCAGCCCCAUUCCCAGUAUAUCCCAGUCCAUCCCAGUCCAUCCCAGUCCAUCCCAGUAUAUCCCAGUCCAUCCCAGUAUAUCCCAGUAUAACCCAGCCCCAUUCCCAGUCCAUCCCAGUAUAACCCAGUAUAUCCCAGUCCCUCCCAGCCCCAUUCCCAGUAUAUCCCAGUAUAUCCCAGUAUAUCCCAGUCCAUCCCAGCAUAUCCCAGUAUAUCCCAGUAUAACCCAGUCCCUCCCAGUAUAACCCCGUAUAUCCCAGUAUAACCCAGUUCCCUCCCAGUUUGCUCCCAGUCCCUCCCAGUAUAACCCAGUCCCUCCCAGUAUAACCCAGUAUAUCCCAGUAUAACCUAGUCCCUCCCAGUUUGAUCCCAGUAUAACCCAGUUUGUCCCAGUCCCUCCCAGUAUAACCCAGUAUAACCCAGUUCCCUCCCAGUAUAACCCAAUUCCCUCCCAGUUUGAUCCCAGUUCCCUCCCAGUAUAAACCAGUAACCCAUAAUCCCCCUCCCAGUUUAUCCCAGUAUAACCCAGUCCCUCCCAGUUUU
rnacentral:lncRNA from 1 species